AUAUAGAGUUCCGCAGCGUAUUACUACUGCGAGAGAAACUUUGGUCAGGAGCUGGCGUAAAGAGCCUUCUUUACGCCACCAAUGAAUAAACGCCAAACUAUAUUUCUACUGAAAACCCAAUACACUUCAACACACACAAACAUAACUCAGUCCCCCAACACGUAUCAGACCUGCCUAAAGAACUAAACAGCUCCAACGCCUAAACCCAUUCCACCUCUUUCCAUCUACUACCGGACCUCCACCUCGCCGCUGAAACUGCCGCACACGUCAGUAAGGAGCUAGCGCCGCCGCACCGGAGCUCCACCUCGUCGUUCAAGGGCUUGUUUCUCUACCUACGAUGCUGGUUUGGCACUAUGGUUCUUGAUUUUGAGCGAUUCUUGGUCAUAUAUUGACUACUUGUUCUUGUUUUGACAUGAAUGUAUUAUAUGAGUGUGUUAUCUAGAAUAGAAGGGGAAAAUUUUGAGUCUUUCUUUCCUACUCUGUGGCUUUUCUGUUUUCUGUUGUGGGUGUUUUAUUUGCUUUAUGUUGCUUGGUUUAUAGCCCACAAAAGCAAAUAUAAGAUUGUGAGGAAAGGAGAGGAGGAGGAGUUAGACGUUGGAGCUGUUUAGUUCUUCAGGAUUUUGAGGUUCUGAUCCCUCUGAUUUACAGCCAUGGAAGGAGGCAACGCCCAAAAGUCGGAGAAGUCCAAGGCUGCUGGCAAGGGAAGCCAGCCAGAAUCAAAAAAGGAGGAGGGGCCAUUCAAGUGCACGGUGUGCUUGCGGACAUUUACAUCAGCGGGGAAGUGCAGGGAACAUGAAGCAAAGCACACCUCCAAAUCUGAUCCCAAAAAUUGUUGAAUAAAUUUGAUGAUGCCAAAAUCGUCAGUUGGGUCACUCGUUCAAUUCGGAUCAUUAGACGAUUUUGUAGGACCUGUAAGAUAAAAGAGAGAUAGAUUGAAAAGACCACCAGGUUGUGCCCGGUGGAGGGAGGGAGCCUCCGAUGCUUAAAUUAGUAUCAGUCCAUAUAUUUUGUAUAUAGUAAUAUAGAUAGUGUUUUGUAGUAGUUUUUUACAUAUCUUUGCUAGUGAGACCGAUUAUCCCUUUUAUAGGUAAUUUAGGUAGUUGUUGUACAUAAAUAAGGGUGAUUAUUACCUUGAUUGUAACGUUUUUUUGUCUUGAUGAAAGUUUAAGACAUUUGAUGGUCGUUA